rnacentral:rRNA from 1 species
AGUGAACGCUGGCGGUAGGCCUAACACAUGCCAGUCGAACGGCAGCACAGUAAGAGCUUGCUCUUACGGGUGGCGAGUGGCGGACGGGUGAGGAAUACAUCGGAAUCUACUUUUUCGUGGGGGAUAACGUAGGGAAACUUACGCUAAUACCGCAUACGACCUACGGGUGAAAGCAGGGGAUCUUCGGACCUUGCGCGAUUGAAUGAGCCGAUGUCGGAUUAGCUAGUUGGCGGGGUAAAGGCCCACCAAGGCGACGAUCCGUAGCUGGUCUGAGAGGAUGAUCAGCCACACUGGAACUGAGACACGGUCCAGACUCCUACGGGAGGCAGCAGUGGGGAAUAUUGGACAAUGGGCGCAAGCCUGAUCCAGCCAUACCGCGUGGGUGAAGAAGGCCUUCGGGUUGUAAAGCCCUUUUGUUGGGAAAUAAAAGCAGCAGGUUAAUACCCCGCUGUUCUGACGGUACCCAAAGAAUAAGCACCGGCUAACUUCGUG